rnacentral:rRNA from 1 species
AACGAACGCUGGCGGCAUGCCUAACACAUGCAAGUCGAACGAGACCUUCGGGUCUAGUGGCGCACGGGUGCGUAACGCGUGGGAACCUGCCCUUAGGUUCGGAAUAACUCCCCGAAAGGGGUGCUAAUACCGGAUAAUGUCUUCGGACCAAAGAUUUAUCGCCUUUGGAUGGGCCCGCGUUGGAUUAGCUAGUUGGUAGGGUAAAAGCCUACCAAGGCGACGAUCCAUAGCUGGUCUGAGAGGAUGAUCAGCCACACUGGGACUGAGACACGGCCCAGACUCCUACGGGAGGCAGCGGUGGGGAAUAUUGGACAAUGGGCGAAAGCCUGAUACAGCAAUGCCGCGUGAGUGAUGAAGGCCUUAGGGUUGUAAAGCUCUUUUAACCGGGAUGAUAAUGACAGUACCGGGAGAAUAAGCCCCGGCUAACUCCGUG